GAGCCAUUAGCUCAGCUGGGAGAGCAUCUGACUUUUAAUCAGAGGGUCAGAGGUUCGAAUCCUCUAUGGCUCAC
rnacentral:tRNA from 1 species